GUUUGAUCAUGGCUCAGAUUGAACGCUGGCAGGAUGCUUUACCACAUACAAGUCGAACGGCAGCACGGACUCCGGUCUGGUGGCGAGUGGCGAACGGGUGAGUAAUGUAUCGGAACGUGCCUAGUAGCGGGGAUAACUACGCGAAAGCGUAGCUAAUACCGCAUACGCCCUUCGGGGGAAAGCGGGGGACCUUCGGGCCUCGCACUAUUAGAGCAGCCGAUAUCGGAUUAGCUAGUUGGUGGGGUAACGGCUCACCAAGGCGACGAUCCGUAGCUGGUUUGAGAGGACGACCAGCCACUGGGACUGAGACACGGCCCAGACUCUACGGGGAGGCAGCAGUGAAAUUGCAGAUAAUGGGAAGCCUGAUCCAGCCAUCCCGCGUGUGCGAUGAAGGCCUUCAGGUUGUAAAGCACUUGCGGCAGGAAAGAAAGCGGCACCGGGAUAAUACCCCGUGCAACUGACGUACCUGCAGAAUAAGCACCGGCACAACCAUUUGCCAACAGCCGCGGUAAUACGUGAGAUUACAAGCGUUAAUCGGAAUUACUGGGCAUCGCUGAUGCCGCAGGCAGUUCGGAAGAAAGAUGUCAAUCCAGAGCUUAACUUUGGAACUGCAUUUUUUAACUACCAAAACUAAGUGUCGAGAGGAGGUGAAUUCCGCGUGUAGCAUUACAAUCACGUAGAUAUGCGGAGGAACACCGAUGGCGAAAGGCCUCGGGAUAACACUGACGCUCAUGCGAAAGCGUAGAGGCUAAACAAGUUGGAAUGCCCUGGUGAUGCACACUUUAACGAUGUCCAACUAGCUGUUUGAGGCCUUCCGGGCCUUGGUGACGCAACUAACGCGUGAAGUUGACCGCCUGGGAGAUACAGUCACAAGAUUAAAACUCAAGGAAUUGGCAGGACUACGCACAAGCGGUGGAUGAUGUGAGUUAAUUCGAUGCAACGCAAGAAAAAUACCCACCUGCCCUUGACAUGUCUGGAUCCCGAAGAGAUUUGGGAGUGCUCCGCAAGAGAACCGGAACACAGGUGCUGCAUGGCUGUCGUCAGCUCGUGUCGUGAGAUGUUGGGUUAAGUCCCGCAACAGGCGCAACCCUUGUCAUUAGUUGCUACCCGAAGGGCACUCUAUUGGGGGCUGCCAGUGACAAGCCGGAGGAAGGUGGGGAUGACGUCAAGUCCUCGCUGGCCCUUAUGGUGAACCCCACCGCGUCAUACAAUGGUCGGGACAGGGUCGCCAACCCGCAGGGGAGCCAAUCCCGAAACCCGAUCGUAGUCCGGAUCGCAGUCUGCAACUCGACUGCGUGAAGUCGGAAUCGCUAUCAAUCGCGGAUCAGCAUGUCGCAGUGAAUACGUUCCCGAGGUCUUGUACACACCGCCCGUCACACCAUGGGAGUGGGUUUUACCAGAAGUAGUUAAGCCUAACCGUAAGGAGGGCGAUUACCACGGUGGGAUUCAUGACUGGGGUGAAGUCUUGCUCGGGUAG
rnacentral:rRNA from 1 species